rnacentral:rRNA from 1 species
AUUGAACGCUGGCGGCAGGCUUAACACAUGCAAGUCGAGCGGAGAUGAGGUGCUUGCACCUUAUCUUAGCGGCGGACGGGUGAGUAAUGCUUAGGAAUCUGCCUAUUAGUGGGGGACAACAUUCCGAAAGGAAUGCUAAUACCGCAUACGUCCUACGGGAGAAAGCAGGGGAUCUUCGGACCUUGCGCUAAUAGAUGAGCCUAAGUCGGAAUAGCUAGUUGGUGGGGUAAAGGCCUACCAAGGCGACGAUCUGUAGCGGGUCUGAGAGGAUGAUCCGCCACACUGGGACUGAGACACGGACCAGACUCCUACGGAAGGCAGCAGUGGGGAAUAUUGGACAAUGGGGGGAACCCUGAUCCAGCCAUGCCGCGUGUGUGAAGAAGGCCUUAUGGUUGUAAAGCACUUUAAGCGAGGAGGAGGCUACUGAGACUAAUACUCUUGGAUAGUGGACGUUACUCGCAGAAUAAGCACCGGCUAACUCUGUGCCAGCCGCCGCCGUAA